rnacentral:rRNA from 1 species
UACAGAGGGGGCAAGCGUUAAUCGGAAUUACUGGGCGUAAAGCGCGCGUAGGCGGCUUUGCAAGUCGGGUGUGAAAUCCCCAGGCUCAACCUGGGAACUGCAUUCGAGACUGCAUUGCUAGAGUAUGGGAGAGGGAAGUGGAAUUUCCGGUGUAGCGGUGAAAUGCGUAGAUAUCGGAAGGAACAUCAGUGGCGAAAGCGACUUCCUGGACCAAUACUGACGCUCAUGUGCGAAAGCGUGGGGAGCAAACAGG